CCCAGAGACUAUGGGUUGAGGCGGAGGUGGAAGUUUGUCGGCUUAGACCUGGUGUCAUUCCAUCAGUGUUAACCUUCCCGGCUCAUCUUGGAAGAGUACGUGCCAGAAAGACCACGACCAAGCAGCCUUGAGAUCUUAGGCAGCAUCUCCCUCAGGUCCCUCUCUAUCUCCCCACACAUCCACCAACCACUGGAACACAUCUCCAAAGUUCUGCCGGGCCAGCUCAGCUUCCCCUCAGAAGAAGUGCCGCCACCUGCCAGAUGAAGGAGCCUUUUGAGAGGCAGCUGGCAUCGUGAUUGGACUGUACUUUGGUCUGUUCCAAUCCAGCUUCAGCUCCAGAGACGGCAGGCGGGACGAGUCAACGGAGGCCGGGUGGACGAAGACCAAAGAACUACAGACUCUUCACAACCUGCUCAAACUCUUGGUACAGGACCUCACCACACGGGUCAAGAAGGUUUCUGUCU
ensembl:lncRNA